rnacentral:rRNA from 1 species
UACGGAAGGGUGCAAGCGUUACUCAGAAUUACUGGGCGUAAAGCGUGCGUAGGUGGUUUGUUAAGUCUGAUGUGAAAGCCCUGGGCUCAACCUGGGAAUUGCAUUGGAUACUGGCAGGCUAGAGUGCGGUAGAGGGUAGUGGAAUUCCCAGUGUAGCGGUGAAAUGCGUAGAUAUUGGGAGGAACACCGGUGGCGAAGGCGGCCCUCUGGACCGGUACUGACGCUGAUGGCGCGAAAGCGUGGGAGCAAACGGG